ensembl:lncRNA LOC120099261 uncharacterized LOC120099261
GUGGGUGUUUACAAGGAGAUAAGGCAUCUGGCUCACAGACAAGUAAUGCUCCAUUCAGCAUCUGUUAUAGCAGAUAUAUAUAUUAUCCAUGAGACACAGUGCUGCACCUUUUGAAUGCUGUUAGAGAUGGUGAUCAUCUGAGUCCUAAGCACUGCACAGGUGCAGGGAGCCUGUUAAAGAGAGACCCCUGUGCCUAUUCUCCUUUUUCUGAUAUUCUUUGCGAAAAGUUGCGCGCGGGACAUUUGGUGCCGAGAACCCGGGACAAAAAGCCACAUCAUCGCCGGCGCUACGAGAAGCCUCCGUUUCACGGAAGAAAUCCAGAAGCUGUGAGUGGUGAUAAGACUCUGAGAGAUCAUGUUUAGCCUUGAUCUGUUCCAGCUCAGUCCCCUGCCGGACGCGGCAGGAGCCGCUAUGGUUGCUCUGGCAGCCCUCGGGUUGUUUCUAUGGACCUUUGAGUUUCUAGUUACCGCCAAACGGCGUCAGAGGUCGCGUGGGAUCUGCCCAGCUGUAACAGCAAAGCGGAGAGUGUUGGGGGAAGGGCAAGGCGACAGAGUGUCAGAAACAGAGGGUAGUGAAAAGUUGCAAUGAGAAAAGGAUCCUGACCGAUCUCAAGCACCAGGCCCUUCCAAUUCAGAAGCAAAAGAUUGGGGAAAGAAUGCCCCGGGUGAGGAGAAGGGAGGAGAUAAAAGGAACAUAGCAUUUUGGGAGAAAAAUUUUGUCUUUGUGCCUGUUAGAAGUGUGCUUAAGCUCCGGCGCCGGCUCUGGGGACACCGCGGCGUCCCUGCGCUGACGCAACAGCUUUACAGAGUCAUACUGAUCAGAUUUGAUAGAGGCAGACCGCCUGAAAAUUUAUUCAGGAGAAUCAAACAAAAGGACAUCUCAGUGCCCAUACACAGCCUGAUGGAGUUAAUGUAAUUGGGUUGUGAGUAAAUAUAUUCAGGGCUGUGUUUCAUUUCCAUACCAUUGGCAAAUGUCAGUCGUUCUGCUCAGAUAAUAUAUCUCAGUAUCUUACAGGAAUUGGGUUUCAACACGUUGGUGGACUAGUCCAGGAAUUGAGACAAUCCAUCGCCCAUAUCGACUCCACUCGAGUGGAUAGUCGCGGUGAACACCAUCUGGUUUUUUCUCUCUUUGUCUAUUGUUUGUCUCUGGUGCACCAGGAUGUCCCCAUGCCUGUCAGUGUAUGUCUGUGGUUUUUAUUUCUUGUUGUUUAAAUGUUUUAUGUUUCAUGUUCAAAAGAAAACAUGGUAAAAACUUUAUCUGCCGGUCGUUCACACCUUGACUUGGUUUUAACUCAUUUCAAAAAGGAACAGAUGAAUAAAAAACAGUUUCAAUCAGGUUUUUAGAGCCCUGUGCCUGGAGCCAGGUGUCUAGAUUAGCUGGAGAAGCUGCCCAGAGGCUAAGCGUAUACACGAGCUGAUCUUAAAGGCGCCAACAGCUUCUCAGCUUCUUCGAUACAAGAGUUGAUAGCUGUUUCUCUUAGAGAGAUCCCUGACUUAUUAUUUGACUCAACAGGUGACAAGGUGCUUCUCUUAAAAUCAUAGCUAAAAAGGUAAAAAUGGUGUUUGGUCUAAAUAUUAAAGAUAUGUGUAGCCACUUCAAUUUUGUUUCUCAUUGGUUUUAAAUGUAUAAAUAUGCUCUACUUGCCUUGGUUAUGGACUAUUGGCUUUCAAGUUAUUGGAUAUGGUUAAAAAGGUAUAAUAUUGGUAACAGAAAGUUGACAUAAAGCUGGUAAUCUGGAUAGAGUCAUUCUAGAUAGCGUGUGACAUGGGCCAACCUCGGGAAACAGGUCUAAAUUGAAAUAAUAUUUUUAUGGAAUUAUUAUCCUAGAAACCAGGCUUCUAAAAGAAUUUAGGACAUUGUCUCUUUGUUGAGGUAUUGGAGACCUCACCAUCGUGUCAUAUAUAAGAAUUGGCAGUCAAACUUUGUAUCUGUAUUUUAAUGCUAAUUCCACUGCCCCAAGAACAGUUGCCUAGCGAGUUUUGCUCUCCAAAGUUGUGGUUUGCCCUAAAGCUAUCGGUAUUUUUAUGCUAAUUUCCACUGCCCUAAGGACAGCUGCCUAGUCACAUACUCAGAACUCAGGUGACCUUGUGGCUGUGUUCUGGUGUUACAAAGAGAACUUAAAGAUUGUGAUUUAGGAUUGCCAGUGUUACAUUGACUAACUCAAACUUAUUUUUAAUUAAGGAAAAAUCAUACAGGUAGAGAUUGUUACAAGAUUUAUGAAGGAUUGAUGAGGUUUUGGAACUUGUGAGAACAUUACAGCCAGUUUACUUACUCCAACUGCCAUUUCAGGAUAGAUUUAGAGGAUUGCUAACAGCCUUCUAUUAGGUACUUUUGUUGCUUCUUCAGUGUAAGAAGUUAGAACUUAAAUCUUUCAAUGUAUAUGGAAAUUUUUACUACAAACCUUUGCUCUCAAAAUGAGCUUUGAUAUUUGGGGAGUAGCUGUUACACUACUCCAGAUAAGAAUAUUUGAAGCUAAUUGUAAGCUUCUAAGGAUAUGUUAAUUGGCUAAGUACCUCACCCUAACAGAGGACUUAGGUCUUUGUUAUGCACAUUGGAGAUAAAGCUUCAGCUGUGUUAGUACAGAGUUGUGGACUGGAAUCAUAGAAGUAUUUUGAAAAGAAACCUGGUAAAACAUAUCUUAUUCCAAACAACAGUUAAUUGGUUAUUACAAAAUACUGAUAUUUGGCCUAUUACAUAUACAAAUUUUUCAGGCAAAAUUGAUAAUUUUACUCUUUGCAUGCUUUUGUACUUCCUGUAUAUUUGUGCAUACAACCCAUAGGAAAUGCGCUUACUGUAUUUAUAGGUGGUUCAUCUAAUGAAAAGGCUACAUGUAUGAUUAGAUCACUUGUUUAAAAAAUCAAGCUUUCAAUUUACAUACUGAUAGCCAAUGUGUGGCUUGUGUUUUACAAUUGAUUUCAAUUACUUAAUGCUUUAUUAGAGACAGGUUUUCUACUUAAAAUCAGUGAGUGAUUUCAGUGUGAAUGUCUGACAACUCACUGUCCUUUCAGUGCUCUGGCUCAGACAACUAAAUUAAACCUUAGGCUCAUACCUAACUUUGAAAAUGGUAAUAGAGUUGAUAUGAAAAGAAGAAGACUCCAUUUGCUUACUUUAAAUUCCCAGCCUCGCCCUGCCAGCUCAGGGAUUUCUAGUAAGACUGAAUCUGGACAAUAUUUACAGGAUUUGGCAUUUCUAAUUAAUGCUUAUGUUUAGGUAAAUAAAGUUUGUGAGGUUAAAUGGCUUAGUGGUUAAGAGCACUAAAUAUUGUUCCUUUAUAGGACAUCUAAGAACUCAAACUGGAUUGCCUGGGCUCUUUAGCAAGGGAGGACAAGAUACCAGACAGAUUAUAGGCCUUACAUAAGAACAAUUAGUGAAAAAAUCUCAUUCUUUAUAUAUCCAAUACAAUAAUGCUGGAGACAAUAAUUUGGUAUACAAGUCAAUUUAUAAAUACAAGUGCUCAGUGUCCUCAAUUUAAUCCUCGAGGACUUACCUUAAUAAAUAAUAUCUUUACUAUAUCUUAAUAAAUAAAAAGUGGGAGUUAUCCCUGUAUGCUAAAUAAUGCUCCUUUUAUUUCAAUUUUAAAAUUUUGGAUGCCAAGGUUUAUGGCACCCUACAACUAGGCAUACUGCUGCCUAGGUGAAAUAGAGAGAUCCACUUAUUGACAUGAUCCUGUCCAGAUAUUUUAUAUGGGGGAGAGGGAAUGUUUGUGUUUUUUCUACAGGAUGCUACAAGAGUGUGCCAGCUGCCUGAGUGGUUGCUGAGACUUGCUGAUCCUGGUUAUUCAGCUCUCGUGGCUCGGGUCCCUGGAGUCAUCCCUCUGCCCUGAGACGAAGAUGAAAGAUUCCCCUUCAUCCUUUGUCAUCACAGAGAUUUUGCCGUUGCUGCAGUCAGUGUUACCGCUGCGCGUGUCCCGUCCCACUAUGGCCUGCUCUCUGACCCUCUGUACACUGCUGCUUGCUAGGGAAGACUGGACUCCAGCCGUUGCUGCCCCCUUCAUUUUCCCUGGUGACUCUUGCUGCCUUAACUGGUCAUUUUACAGACUGUAGCUUUACAGGAAUGCUACCUGCUUAAAGCUACAGUAGACUGGGGAACUCUGUCCUGGUUAUACAGAUCUCAGAAAUGGUUCCAUUGUCUGCUGGUUGUUCCAGAGAAACAUGACUGAUCCUGAACUGUCCUGGAAAAGACCUUGACACUUUCGCUGCUAUUGCAGCAGCCAUUACUGCUGCAGACAUAGUGUCUGCAGUGUCUGGAGUUAUCCUCCCCCAAUCUAUUGUUAGACAAGUACAGUGGGUGAACUUUCUAGAGUAGUUACUAACAAUUGGGAAUUCUAAAUUUUAUUAUAGGAGCGGCUUGACUACGGCCCUUGGUGGUAACAGCUGAGGUGGACCAAAUGAGGUGCCCACUACUUAUCGGGAGUGGCUCUGUCUGGUGCAGCCCUAUGCUGUGGAUCAGUGUUCAUACUAUGGUUGGUUUGCAAACUCAGAUCUCAACAGAAACGUGACAAGGCCGUUAUCACUCAAGUACUUGUGGCCAUUGUACUAGGGGCCUCCCCUGGAAUUUGGUUAUCUUGCUCAGGACUCUCUCUGUAUCUGAGUUCUCUGCUCCUGCACCCCAUGUAUCUGUGGAUCCAUUGCACUGGGAGGAGAGGGACUCUCUCUGUAUCUGAGUUCUCUGCUCGUGCACCCCAUGGAUCUGUGGAUCCAUUGCACUGGGAUGAGAGAGACUCAGUGAUCCUUUGAUCAGCCCGUGCACAUCGCUGAGGUUUCCUCAUUGCACGCGAUAGGGUGAUCAUGAUUUGUUAUAAAAUAAUUGAUUUGUUAUAAAAUAAAUAAAUAGGGGGAGAUGUAGAGGGCAGCAAUAACAUUUGCCAACACUAGAUGGUGCUGGCUUCCACUGUGCCCCACGUGGAAGGCCAGGAUAGCCUCCGCCAUUACAAGAUGGCGCCAGCCUUCGCCACGCCAGCCGGCCCCCUUUCAGGAAGUUAACUGUGCGCACGUGCAAGAGUGCCUUCGUGCCAGGUCUUUGCCCACUCCGGGGCGUGCCUUAUGAGAUCAUGGGUAAACAACAAAUCAGGUGUGGGUGCACCGCACUAGGGGUUUAUAAGCGCACCUUCUUGGCGCGGCGGGCGCUUCUGUUUAAGAUUAAAAUACAGUUUGGUCAUAGCAAGGAUUUCGAAAUGUCCGCGUGCUUCUUGCCAGCGGAAAGUCGCGCACGGGACAUCUGGUGGAACUUUUGGGAUCACUUAAAUAUACUAUCAUGUCAUCUGCAAAUAGUGAUAUUUUGACUUCUUUACCAAUCUGUAUCCCCUUGAUUUCCUUUUGUUGUCUGAUUGCUCUGGCUAGAACUUCAAGAACUAUAUUGAAUAAGUAGGGAGAGAGUGGGCAGCCUUGUCUAGUCCCUGAUUUUAGUGGGAUUGCUUCAAGUUUCUCUCCAUUUAGUUUAAUGUUAGCAACUGGUUUGCUGUAUAUGGCUUUUACUAUGUUUAGGUAUGGGCCUUGAAUUCCUAUUCUUUCCAGGACUUUUAUCAUGAAGGGGUGUUGAAUUUUGUCAAAUACUUUCUCAGCAUCUAAUGAAAUGAUUAUGUGGUUUUGUUCUUUCAGUUUGUUUAUAUAAUCGAUCACAUUGAUGGUUUUCCAUAUAUUAAACCAUCCCUGCAUGCCUGGGAUGAAGCCUACUUGAUCAUGGUGGAUGAUUCUUUUGAUGUGCACUUGGAUUCGGUUUGCCAGAAUUUUAUUGAGUAUUUUUGCAUCGAUAUUCAUACGGGAAAUUGGUCUGAAGUUCUCUUUCUUUGUUGGGUCUUUGUGUGGUUUAGGUAUAAGAGUAAUUGUGGCUUCAUAGAAGGAAUUCGGUAGUGGUCCAUAUGUUUCAAUUUUGUGGAAUAGUUUGGAUAAUAUUGGUAUGAGGUCUUCUAUGAAGGUCUGAUAGAAUUCUGCACUAAAACCGUCUGGACCUGGGCUCUUUUUGGUUGGGAGACCUUUAAUGACUGCUUUUAUUUCCUUAGGAGUUAUGGGGUGGUUUAACUGGUUUAUCUGUUCCUGAUUUAACUUCGGUACCUGGUAUCUGUCUAGGAAAUUGUCCAUUUCCUAAAGAUUUUCAAGUUUUGUUGAAUAUAGGCUUUUAUAGUAAGAUCUGAUGAUUUUUUUAAUUUCCUCUGAAUCUGUAGUUAUGUCUCCCUUUUCAUUUCUGAUUUUGUUAAUUUGGACACACUCUCUGUGUCUUCUCGUUAGUCGGGCUAACUGUUUAUCUAUCUUCUUGAUUUUCUCAAAGAACCAACUUCUGGUUCUGUUGAUUCUUUCUAUGGUCUUUUUGUUUCUAUUUGGCUGAUUUCAGCUCUGAGUUUGAUUAUUUCCUGUCUUCUACUCCUCCUGAGUGUAUUUGCUUCUUAUUGUUCUAGAGCUUUUAGGUGUGCUGUCAAGAUGCUUACAUAUGCUCUCUCCUGUUUCUUUCUGCAGGCACUCAGAGCUAUGAGUUUUCCUCUUAGCACAGCUUUCAUUGUGUCCCAUAAGUUUGGGUAUGUUGUACCUUCAUUUUCAUUAAAUUCUAAGAAGUCUUUAAUUUCUUUCUUUAUUUCUUCCUUGACCAGGUUAUCGUUGAGUAGAGCAUUGUUCAACUUCCACGUAUAUGUGGGCGUUCUUCCCUUUUUGUUAUUGAAGACCAGCUUUAGGCCGUGGUGGUCUGAUAGCACGCAUGGGAUUAUUUCUAUCUUUCUGUACCUGUUGAGGCCCGUUUUUUGACCAAUUAUAUGGUCAAUUUUGGAGAAAGUACCAUGAAGAGCUGAGAAGAAUGUAUAUCCUUUUGCUUUAGGAUAGAAUGUUCUAUAAAUAUCUGUUAAGUCCAUUUGGUACAUGACUUCUCUUAGUCUGUCUACGUCUCUGUUUGAUUUCUGUUUCCAUGAUCUGUCCAUUGAUGAGAGUGGGGUGUUGAAAUCUCCUACUAUUAUUGUGUGAGGUGCAAUGUGUGUUUUGAGCUUUAGUAAGGUUUCUUUUACGUAUGUAUGUGCCCUUGUAUUUGGGGCAUAGAUAUUUAGGAUUGAGAGUUCAUCUUGGUGGAUUUUUCCUUUGAUGAAUAUGAAGUGUCCUUCCUUAUCUUUUUUGAUGACUUUUAGUUGAAAAUUGAUUUUAUUCGAU